AAUUAAUUUCCAUUUUUGUUUCCACAACAGAAAUUCACCAGGUGUGAGAAGAGUUUGCAUUAUUGUAAUCAAAUCAUGAGGUAUGAGCAAAUGUGUUGAAAAAGUAGCACUUAAAAGGCUCUUAAAAUAGUUACUAUGCAUCCAAAACUCCUUAAUUGCCUUGCACAAAUCUUUGAUAUUAGAAUAAGGGAAAGGUGUCCAGCCAGGAUUAGCUCCUGUGCUGGCAUGAGAGUAUGUAAAAGCAG